CCCUUGUUUUGUGUUUCCGAUGGCGCGCACCACCCACGGUUUCUCUCUUCCGGGCUUCCGGCCUUGGGUUCAGGACAAAACAAACGGACCCAUCGUUUUCUAUACCAAACCUCGCCUAUACAUAGCAGAGAGCGCAAUAUUUCUCUUCCAGAUUUCCAUUCCUCUGCAGUUAAAAAGUUCCCAUUCCAUGGCUCCCUCGGCGGCGAUGCUCUUCCUAAGCUACCACCAGUGGAAACCCAAGCCCUCCCCUCAACCUCUUCCCAGUGCUCCUCCUCCUGCCGCCGCUGAUACUUCGUUUCUGGUGAAGUUCUCCAGAAGCCCGGUCUCGCGUCCCUCCUCGCUGCCGGCUGAGCCCGCUGCUCAGGCAGAAGCGAAAGCCUUCCGACGCCAGCACCAAACGACAUCCGACCACGGAGGACAAGUUCCAGGAGGCACUUGAGCUCGGCUGUUGGUCCUUGUGAGGGACAAUACUCAGCCGUACUGCCAUCUUCGUGCAAAAUGGAAAGUUCUUGCCAGAUCUAUGUAUCAUAUGUUGCUCCACGAGGCGUUCCGUGCCCUCUCAAAUUAUGUGCAUCAACGCUCUCCAAAGAUGUCGAUUAAAGGUGGAUUUUGAAGCUGUAGGCCUUUGUGCUCUCAGAAUCCUCCAAUUCUCUUCUCUCUGGCUUUGAUCUGCCAUAUGGUAUCCCAACUUCAUACCAUUUUUUUUUCUCAAAAUGAAAUAGAAAAUUCUGGCGAAAUCAAUCCACGAGCAGAUGAGGGGUUUUGGCAGGUCACAUUGUUUGUCUCUUUCCUUGUUCUUCUCGAAAUAUUCAAGUUUUUGGAGUCUCCGUGGAGCGAUUACAGGAGUGGAAGAAUCAUAUUGGAUCGAUCUGUGCCAGAACUGAAUUAUCGGCGUUGCGUUCUUAGAUCUCAGAAAUAAUAAAAGAUAAUAUAUUGCCGGAACUGAAUUAUCUUUACUGGAUUCCUAGUUCUCAGAAAUAAUAAAAGAUAACAUAUUGCCAGAUCCGAAUCCGAAUCCGAAUCGUGCCACUGCAUCCCGCCUCGCAAAAGCCGAGCCCUCUUCCCCCUAUAAAUGUUUCUCUUAUUCCCAGAGAGAGUCGCAUCGAUGAAGGAACUGCCCAAUUCCACUUUCUUCUUUCUGUCGAUCUUUGCCUCUCACUCGUAUAUCGCAGUUGAGGGCUGCUUGCAUGGAGAGCUGGAUGAGGUGUACGCCUCGAUUCGGCAUGUCGAGAAGAUUGAGGACAUAAAAAUCGACCUCCUAAUCCGCUGUGGCGACUUCCAGGCAGUCAGGAAUGAAAAUGAUCUUGAGAGCUUGAGUUGCAACCACCAAAAUAUCGGAGUAUGAACUCAUUCUGGAAGUAUUACUCUGGACAAGAAGUAGCGCCUGUUCUGACUAUAUAUAUAUUGGUGGGAACCAUGACGCAUCAAAUCAUUUAUGGGAACUGUAUUAUGGAGGCUGGGCUGGACCUAAUAUAUAUUUCUUGGUCUUUUCUGGAGUUAUUAAAUUUGUCAACAUUCGAAUUGGUGGGAUUUCUGGGAUUUAUAAACAAGGCCAUUAUCAUCUAGAUCAAGAAGAGGACUCUAGGCAGCUUGCCUGCUGCAGAGCUGCUAAACCAACAUAAGCCACACAAAUGGUUUUCAGGUCAUAUUCACUGUAAUUUUACAGCUGCUAUUCAGCGCAAGAAGGAUGAGUCUAUCACAAGGUUUGUUGCUCUUGACAAAUGUGUUCCAGGUCGGAAAUUUUUGCUGGUUGAGAUUCCAUGUUUGUUGUUACUCUAAUGAUGCAUAUUAUAUGAAAUCCAAUUGAAAAGCCUAACUCAGUUAAAUUUUUAGAUUGUUGAUAUCAACUCAGAUCCAGGCCCAUAUGAAAUUCGGCAUGAUGCGGACUGGCUGGUAAUAACAAGGAAGUUCAAUAGUAUCUUUCCAUUGAGCUGAAGAACUGUUCAUUUGAGAUCCGACAAGCAAGGUUUUCGUGAGUGGGUGAGGAAUAAGUUAAAUACUAGAGGAGCCAGACUUUUUGAUUUUGUGCAGACCGUUUCACCCUUUGAUCCUUCUCAGCCACUCACAGAAACUUCAACUUCGGUGAUCUAAGGGAGAGAUCGACGACUAUGCAGGAGGCAUGUGUUUCGUUGUGAAAGACAUUUUUCAAUAUCUAAAUUGACCUUUUUGAGUUUACUACCCUGGUUAAGUAAUUUGCCACCUCUUUCUCCUUUGCCUCACGGAGCUAAUUCCAUUCCAUGUAUCCAUUAUACGGGCAUGCAAACAAGACUCGAGACACUAGUCUCAGGGCAAUAGAACAAAUAGAAUAAUUGAUUUGUGCAAGAGAACAAUCCAUUUAUGGGGUGCCUCAUUCAUCUUUAAGAGCAAUACAACAAUCCAAUAAUUUCUUUUCUA